CGUGUGGACACUGAAACUGGGAUUCAUUUAAUAUUUAAAUGUAUGGGCGGUUCCUCUGAAUAAUGCAGAUUUAAUUUCAUGUAAGCUGGUGCGUCCUUUUAAAUUAAAUUAAUCCCUGUUAUGGGAAUAAAAUAUGAAAACAUUUCAUUACUUCAGCAGGUAUCGACCAACCGUUGCGGUUCGUAAAAAAUCUGGAUAGGUAAGCACUUAUAGGCGCGUGUUUUCCUUAUAACCGUGGCAUGUCAUAUAAAAGGCGCCAAACUUGAGAACUACUUUCAGUUACUGUCCAUUAUUCGAGGAGCCUAGCCAACAUGCGGUCGGGAUUCGUGUUAGUUCUUGUGACUAUCGCCAUAAUUCUUCAAUGGUCUUCUGUCGAAUGUCACCCGCCGCUUCAAGCCGUCACUACGACCAGUCGACCACCCUGGACUACUAGGAUUAAGAAUGGAGUGGGUCGGUUUCUCGAAGGGGCGGCCGUCGUGAGUGCAGUGCAGAACGCGUAUCAUAGUGGCAAGUCUGGCAGACCGAAGUCCUAUCCAGAUGUGCCGUUGAAGAAACAUUAGCAUAGUAUAAUUUAUGAUAUUUCUUAAAUAGUAUUUACUUGAAGAUAUAACUUGUAGAGAAAUGUCUGACUGGUGAAGUGUACCUAGGAAGAAAGAAGUUGUUAAAGGAUAUACCUACCUACCUUAUAAUAAAAUGUAAUGUUAUAGUAUGCAGUUAAGUCAAUAUUACUUAUAAAUAACUAAUCGUGAUCAAUCAAUCACCAUUCUUCAGACUUUUAUUUCUUACUUAGGUACAACAGUUGUUACAACUAAACAUUUCAUAACCGAUUACAUAACUUCCUGCUUAUUUUCACAAACAUAUUUUCUUUUCUAACACGAAAUAAACAAAUACCGAACGUUCUUUCAAGCGAAAACAUAAAUAUUGUUAUAAAAAUAAAAAAGACGUCUAAGUGCUGGUUGGACGGA